GAAAUCAUGUCGUUUCCUAGCUAUGCUUUGUUUUAUUUCCCUGACUCGGACAUAGUGGACAGCACCGAUAUCAUUUUAAGAGAACACAGACGAGCAGAGUACCAGUCAGCUCCCGCGAACAACUCAGAAUAGAGGUGCGCCUGACAAGUCGCGGCCGACAUGGACAGAGCAAGAUACUGACAGCAAAAAUACUACUACUUGGUGAUGUUUACAAAGACUUAAUCAUGAAGAGAGAUGCUUUUAAGAGAGGAGAAGACAUCUGGAAGACCACUGCAGAGAAAGGGAAAAAACACCUGAAGCCAUAAAGAGUGCAAGUACAUCUCAAAGUGCAGCUGAUGCUGUAAUGGGAGACAAACUUAAAAGAGACCUCCAGAACCUGCAAAGACAGAAAGCACCUGUAACCUCUACUCCAAUGUCAGGUGACUCAGAUAACACUGACACUGACCUGUUUGAAAAUACAGAGCAGAGACA